rnacentral:misc_RNA from 1 species
AACCUAGCACACCUGCGGUGUGUACCUGCGGAGGGAUCAUUACCGAGUUUACAACUCCCAAACCCCUGUGAACAUACCUAUACGUUGCCUCGGCGGAUCAGCCCGCGCCCCGUAAAACGGGACGGCCCGCCCGAGGACCCUAAACUCUGUUUUUAGUGGAACUUCUGAGUAAAACAAACAAAUAAAUCAAAACUUUUAACAAUGGAUCU